AUGGAUUCAGAGGUUUUUGUACGGCGGCUCAAUGACUUUGUAUCACUGUGGUACACGUUCGGUGGAGGAACCAGACUGAAUGUUAACGUGGGUCUAGUGCGCCCCGCCCUGACGGUGCUUCCCCCCUCCGAUAAGGAGCUGCAGCAGGGGACGGCCACACUCAUGUGCCUGGCCAACAAGGGCUUCCCCUCAGACUGGAGUCUGGCCUGGAAGGUGGACGACAGAAGGAGCAGCGGGGAGCAGAGCAGGAGCCCCGGAGCGCUGCAGAAGGACGGCCUUUACAGCUGGAGCAGCACCCUGAGGCUCCCUGCAGACCAGUGGAGGAAGCUGGGCUCUGUGACCUGUGAGGCCACCCAGGGCUCCCAGACUCCACUCUCAGAGACACUGAGGAGAGACCAGUGUUCCUAG